ensembl:lncRNA
GCUGACAGCUGCUCUGCUGCAAAAGCCUGCUGUCCUUACUAAAAAAUGACCAGUGCUAGCCGAAACCUAGGGAAAAACUUUCUGUGUUUUUAAGCCUGGGUUGUUUCUGCAGACUUGCAUGUUAUUGAAACACCUAUGCCUGAGGGGCUAAAUGAAGGUUAUGGGUCUUCAGGAAUUGAUAACAAGUGUGAGAGGGUCUGAACCAGAAAAGUUGCCUCAUUCUACAGAAAGACUUCAAAGGGUUAAACCAGAAAAGCUGCCUCAUUUACAAAAAGACUGCAAAGGUUCCGCUCUUUUGUGGAUGAGCUGCAAGCAAGCAAGAGAGAAGACAGCUAAAGCAUUGGUGGCAGGAGUCUCAUGCCAAGGUUGACCGGUUGCAGAUGAAAGAUUUGUUAAACUCUUAUGCUUAUGAGUUGGACCUAGCAAAGGACAUAAAAGGCAAUAAGCAGGAGUUCUUUAAAUACACCAGGAGCAAGAAAAAGAUGAAGGAAAGCCUAUGUCCUCUAUCUAGCAGAGAAGGAGAACUAAUAACCAAUUGACAUUGAGAAAACUGAGGUGUUUAAUGCCUAUUUUGCUUCAGUCAUCAUUGAAAAGGUUAAGGGGUUCCAGAUACUCAACACAAGUAAUAUGAACAAUAAGAUCGAAGGAAUAGAAGCCAAAAUAGGGAAAGGAUAGAUUACAGAAUAUUUAGAUACAUUAGAUGCAUUAAAGUCAGCAGAGCCUGAUUAAAUUUAUCCUAAGGUACUUAAGGAACAAGCUGAAGCAAUCUCAGAAUUGCUAGGUAUCUUGGAGAACUCAUGGAGGACGAGUGAUGUUAUUUUACUGGAAUGCUGUUGACCAGUGUCUGCAACUAGUACUGCACUGUAGCAGAUCCUACAUUAAUGAGUACUGUACAAGAACCUAUAUAUUUAAAAUAAUAAUAUUGCUGGAGGUCCAUGCCUCGCCAACAGGUUUCAGAUACAUUAUUUCAGCACUGGAAGUUGUGUUUGACAGCCUGGUGAUCUCCAAAAAGCUAGAUAAAUAGUAAUUAAUACACAGUUUUUUCCACCAAAAUGAAAUAAUCUGAUCCCGUCUUUUCCUGGGGAUGUACAGGCACUAUACUUGCUGGUAUGAAUUCCUUUGGUUGGAUGCAGUGAUAUUUAAGAUAUAUACUGCAAUCUCCUAUAAUUGGCUCAAUGUCUUUGUUCAUAUUUGACUAGCAAUAAAGAUUUAUGAA